AAUCAACGCUGGCGGCGUGCCUAACACAUGCGAGUCGAACGCGAAAGCCCCGCAAGGGGUAAGUAGAGUGGCAAACGGGUGAGUAACACGUGGGUGACCUGCCUUCGAGUGGGGGAUAACGUCCCGAAAGGGACGCUAAUACCGCAUGACAUCCUGCUUUUGAAAAAGCGGAGAUCAAAGCUGGGGAUCGCAAGACCUAGCGCUUGAAGAGGGGCCCGCGCCUGAUUAGCUAGUUGGUGAGGUAACGGCUCACCAAGGCGACGAUCAGUAUCCGGCCUGAGAGGGCGGACGGACACACUGGGACUGAGACACGGCCCAGACUCCUACGGGGGGCAGCAGUGGGGAAUUGUUCGCAAUGGGCGCAAGCCUGACGACGCAACGCCGCGUGGAGGACGAAGAUCUUCGGGUCGUAAACUCCUGUCGAGCGGGACGAACGCUUCGCGGAUGAAUAAUCCGCGGAAUUGACGGUACCGCUAAAGGAAGCCCCGGCUAACUCCGUG
rnacentral:rRNA from 1 species